rfam:Glycine max cultivar Williams 82 chromosome 9, whole genome shotgun sequence.
UUCUCAUUGGAUGACGAUUGUCACAUGUCAUUUUGAUUGGUCAAUGAAAACAAAAAUAUAUUUCAUCUUUUAUGGAAUUGACAUCCAAUGAGAACAUGACACGUGAUAGUCGUUAUCC